rnacentral:rRNA from 1 species
UCUGCCCUAACAUGCAAGUCGAACGAUGAUGCCCAGCUUGCUGGGUGGAUUAGUGGCGAACGGGUUGAAACACGUGAGUAACCUGCCCCUGACUCUGGGAUAAGCGUUGGAAACGACGUCUAAUACUGGAUAUGACUGCCGGCCGCAUGGUCUGGUGGUGGAAAGAUUUUUUGGUUGGGGAUGGACUCGCGGCCUAUCAGCUUGUUGGUGAGGUAAUGGCUCACCAAGGCGACGACGGGUAGCCGGCCUGAGAGGGUGACCGGCCACACUGGGACUGAGACACGGCCCAGACUCCUACGGGAGGCAGCAGUGGGGAAUAUUGCACAAUGGGCGAAAGCCUGAUGCAGCAACGCCGCGUGAGGGAUGACGGCCUUCGGGUUGUAAACCUCUUUUAGUAGGGAAGAAGCGAAAGUGACGGUACCUGCAGAAAAAGCACCGGCUAACUACGUGCCAGCAGCCGCGGUAAUACGUAGGGUGCAAGCGUUGUCCGGAAUUAUUGGGCGUAAAGAGCUCGUAGGCGGUUUGUCGCGUCUGCUGUGAAAUCCCGAGGCUCAACUUCGGGCUUGCAGUGGGUACGGGCAGACUAGAGUGCGGUAGGGGAGAUUGGAAUUCCUGGUGUAGCGGUGGAAUGCGCAGAUAUCAGGAGGAACACCGAUGGCGAAGGCAGAUCUCUGGGCCGUAACUGACGCUGAGGAGCGAAAGCGUGGGGAGCGAACAGGAUUAGAUACCCUGGUAGUCCACGCCGUAAACGUUGGGCGCUAGAUGUAGGGACCUUUCCACGGUUUCUGUGUCGUAGCUAACGCAUUAAGCGCCCCGCCUGGGGAGUACGGCCGCAAGGCUAAAACUCAAAGGAAUUGACGGGGGCCCGCACAAGCGGCGGAGCAUGCGGAUUAAUUCGAUGCAACGCGAAGAACCUUACCAAGGCUUGACAUACACCGGAAACGGCCAGAGAUGGUCGCCCCCUUGUGGUCGGUGUACAGGUGGUGCAUGGUUGUCGUCAGCUCGUGUCGUGAGAUGUUGGGUUAAGUCCCGCAACGAGCGCAACCCUCGUUCUAUGUUGCCAGCGCGUUAUGGCGGGGACUCAUAGGAGACUGCCGGGGUCAACUCGGAGGAAGGUGGGGAUGACGUCAAAUCAUCAUGCCCCUUAUGUCUUGGGCUUCACGCAUGCUACAAUGGCCGGUACAAAGGGCUGCGAUACCGUAAGGUGGAGCGAAUCCCAAAAAGCCGGUCUCAGUUCGGAUUGAGGUCUGCAACUCGACCUCAUGAAGUCGGAGUCGCUAGUAAUCGCAGAUCAGCAACGCUGCGGUGAAUACGUUCCCGGGCCUUGUACACACCGCCCGUCAAGUCAUGAAAGUCGGUAACACCCGAAGCCGGUUG